AUUUGUCUUGGGCUCGAUUGACGCUGGCGGCAGGCCUAACACAUGCAAGUCGAACGGUAACAGGAAGCAGCUUGCUGCUUCGCUGACGAGUGGCGGACGGGUGAGUAAUGUCUGGGAAACUGCCUGAUGGAGGGGGAUAACUACUGGAAACGGUGGCUAAUACCGCAUAACGUCGCAAGACCAAAGAGGGGGACCUUCGGGCCUCUUGCCAUCAGAUGUGCCCAGAUGGGAUUAGCUUGUUGGUGAGGUAACGGCUCACCAAGGCGACGAUCCCUAGCUGGUCUGAGAGGAUGACCAGCCACACUGGAACUGAGACACGGUCCAGACUCCUACGGGAGGCAGCAGUGGGGAAUAUUGCACAAUGGGCGCAAGCCUGAUGCAGCCAUGCCGCGUGUAUGAAGAAGGCCUUAGGGUUGUAAAGUACUUUCAGCGGGGAGGAAGGUGUUGUGGUUAAUAACCGCAGCAAUUGACGUUACCCGCAGAAGAAGCACCGGCUAACUCCGUGCCAGCCGCCGCGGUAAUUA
rnacentral:rRNA from 1 species